GGCAAUAUCACAAUGAAACACUGGUUCCAGUAUGAUCACUGAAGUUAAGCAACAUCAAACUGGGUCAGCACCUAGAUGGGUGACCGAUUGGGAAUAUCAGGUGCUGUAAG